GAUGAACGCUGGCGGCGUGCCUAAUACAUGCCAGUCGAGCGAACGGACGAGAAGCUUGCUUCUCUGAUGUUAGCGGCGGACGGGUGAGUAACACGUGGAUAACCUACCUAUAAGACUGGGAUAACUUCGGGAAACCGGAGCUAAUACCGGAUAAUAUUUUGAACCGCAUGGUUCAAAAGUGAAAGACGGUCUUGCUGUCACUUAUAGAUGGAUCCGCGCUGCAUUAGCUAGUUGGUAAGGUAACGGCUUACCAAGGCAACGAUGCAUAGCCGACCUGAUAGGGUGAUAGGCCACACUGGAACUGAGACACGGUCCAGACUCCUACGGGAGGCAGCAGUAGGGAAUCUUCCGCAAUGGGCGAAAGCCUGACGGAGCAACGCCGCGUGAGUGAUGAAGGUCUUCGGAUCGUAAAACUCUGUUAUUAGGGAAGAACAUAUGUGUAAGUAACUGUGCACAUCUUGACGGUACCUAAUCAGAAAGCCACGGCUAACUACGUG
rnacentral:rRNA from 1 species